UGGGGAAUAUUGCGCAAUGGGCGAAAGCCUGACGCAGCGACGCCGCGUGAGGGAUGAAGGCCUUCGGGUUGUAAACCUCUUUCAGCAGGGACGAAGCGAAAGUGACGGUACCUGCAGAAGAAGCACCGGCCAACUACGUGCCAGCAGCCGCGGUAAUACGUAGGGUGCAAGCGUUGUCCGGAAUUAUUGGGCGUAAAGAGCUCGUAGGCGGUUUGUCGCGUCGGCUGUGAAAACUCGGGGCUCAACCCCGAGCCUGCAGUCGAUACGGGCAGACUAGAGUGCUGUAGGGGAGACUGGAAUUCCUGGUGUAGCGGUGAAAUGCGCAGAUAUCAGGAGGAACACCGGUGGCGAAGGCGGGUCUCUGGGCAGUAACUGACGCUGAGGAGCGAAAGCGUGGGGAGCGAACA
rnacentral:rRNA from 1 species